CGUUAGCGGCGGACGGGUGAGUAACACGUGGGUAACCUACCUAUAAGACUGGGAUAACUCCGGGAAACCGGGGCUAAUACUGGAUAACACAUGAAACCGCAUGGUUUCAUGAUGAAAGACGGUUUUGCUGUCACUUAUAGAUGGACCCGCGGCGUAUUAGCUAGUUGGUAAGGUAACGGCUUACCAAGGCAACGAUACGUAGCCGACCUGAGAGGGUGAUCGGCCACACUGGAACUGAGACACGGUCCAG
rnacentral:rRNA from 1 species